CCUACGGGAGGCAGCAGUGGGGAAUUUUGGACAAUGGGCGCAAGCCUGAUCCAGCAAUGCCGCGUGAGUGAAGAAGGCCUUCGGGUUGUAAAGCUCUUUUGUCAGGGAAGAAACGGUGGAGGUUAAUACCUUCUGCUAAUGACGGUACCUGAAGAAUAAGCACCGGCUAACUACGUGCCAGCAGCCGCGGUAAUACGUAGGGUGCAAGCGUUAAUCGGAAUUACUGGGCGUAAAGCGUGCGCAGGCGGUUGUGCAAGACAGAUGUGAAAUCCCCGGGCUCAACCUGGGAAUUGCAUUUGUGACUGCACGGCUAGAGUGUGUCAGAGGGGGGUAGAAUUCCACGUGUAGCAGUGAAAUGCGUAGAGAUGUGGAGGAAUACCGAUGGCGAAGGCAGCCCCCUGGGAUAACACUGACGCUCAUGCACGAAAGCGUGGGGAGCAAACAGGAUUAGAUACCCUGGUAGUCCACGCCCUAAACGAUGUCUACUAGUUGUCGGGUCUUAAUUGACUUGGUAACGCAGCUAACGCGUGAAAGUAGACCGCCUGGGGAGUACGGUUCGCAAGAAUUAAAACUUAAAGGAAUUGACGG
rnacentral:rRNA from 1 species